GAUGAACGCUGACAGAAUGCUUAACACAUGCAAGUCGAUGGGGAAGUGGUGCUUGCCCCAUGGCAACCAUGGCGGACGGGUGAGUAACGCGUAAGGGACUUACCUGCAGGACUGGGAUAACAGGGGGAAACUCCUGACAAGACCGGAUAAUGUCAUGGAGCUGCAUGGCUUUAUGAUGAAAGGAGACGCCUGCGGAGAGCCUUGCGUCCUAUUAGCUAGUUGGUGAGGUAAUGGCUCACCAAGGCGAAGAUAGGUAGCCGGCCUGAGAGGGUGGACGGCCACAAGGGGACUGAGAUACGGCCCUUACUCCUACGGGAGGCAGCAGUGGGGAAUAUUGGACAAUGGGGGCAACCCUGAUCCAGCAAUUCUGUGUGCACGAAGAAGGUUUUCGGAGUGUAAAGUGCUUUCAGCAGGGAAGAAGUAAGUGACGGUACCUGCAGAAGAAGCGACGGCUAAAUACGUG
rnacentral:rRNA from 1 species